GGACCCGCACAAGCGGUGGAGUAUGUGGUUUAAUUCGAUGCAACGCGAAGAACCUUACCAGGGUUUGACAUCCUGCGAAUCUCUUGGAAACGAGAGAGUGCCUUCGGGAGCGCAGUGACAGGUGGUGCAUGGCUGUCGUCAGCUCGUGUCGUGAGAUGUUGGGUUAAGUCCCGCAACGAGCGCAACCCACGUCUUUAGUUGCCAGCAUUUAGUUGGGCACUCUAGAGAGACCGCCGGUGACAAACCGGAGGAAGGUGUGGAUGACGUCAAGUCAUCAUGCCCCUUACGUCCUGGGCUACACACGUACUACAAUGCUACGGACAAAGGGCAGCAAACUCGCGAGAGCUAGCAAAUCCCAUAAACCGUGGCUCAGUUCAGAUCGUAGGCUGCAACUCGCCUACGUGAAGGAGGAAUCGCUAG
rnacentral:rRNA from 1 species